AACGAACGCUGGCGGCAGGCCUAACACAUGCAAGUCGAACGCCGUAGCAAUACGGAGUGGCAGACGGGUGAGUAACGCGUGGGAACAUACCCCUCGGUUCGGAAUAACUCAGGGAAACUUGAGCUAAUACCGGAUACGUCCGAGGUUUUAAUCGGCCUUGGAGAAAGAUUUAUCGGCCGGAGGAUUGGCCCGCGUCUGAUUAGCUUGUUGGNGAGGUAAUGGCUCACCGAAGGCGACGACUAGUAGCUGGUCUGAGAGGAUGAUCAGCC
rnacentral:rRNA from 1 species